GUGGGGGCACUUGCUAGCUCUAGGAUUUACGAGCGUCGUUGAAUCAUUCUGAUCGUCGUUUUAUCGCGAAACUGAGGCUAGUUUGUGUGUGAAAACAACUCCUUGAGUGUAGUGUUAUUACCAAUUGUGCAGAGUGUUAUUGACUCUGGACGGGACGUGAAAACAUCUUGUCAAUAUCUAGAAAGUUCUAUUUAUAUUGUCAUAAAUACUUAAUUAACUUAUUUACCCAAAUGCUAACCAGAUUUUUCGUAAUACUAAUUCAUUCAUCAUCGAGAACUAGUAUUCACGAUUCAGGACAAAUCUUAUAAAAUAUAGUGACUAUAGUUACAUAUAAUUGUCUUGUUUGAAAAAAAUAAAUGAUUGAUAAAUUAUUAUUGUUUAUCUAAAGAACAGCUUGCAUUCUCCUCUUCACAAGUAACCAGCACAGUUUCUCUCUAUAAACGAAGGCUCCAUUCAUGAGAUCUGAAAACAUGCUCAGGAUUCCAUAGAGCAGAUAAAAUAUGGUUUCUACAAAUCGUGUUGUAGUAGUGGCACUUUUGUGUGCAAUUGUGAUGCAUAAUGCAGUGUUUUCAGUCUCAAAUGCUCAGCUCACUCCAACUUUCUACAGCCUAACAUGUCCAUUACUCUACACUACUGUGUCCACAGUCAUCUCCACUGCCUCACUCACCGAUCCCCGUAUCGGUGCUAGCCUCAUGAGGCUUCAUUUUCAUGAUUGCUUUGUUCAAGUGCGUUAGUUAAUUAAAAUCAAAUGUUAGCUCUUUAUUUCCCUAUUUCACGUGUUUAAUUUCUAUCUUCUUAUGCAAUAUUACAAGUGCUACCAACACAUUCUUCUAAAAUAUAAAUUAUAUGUUGUUUUCAGUCUCAAAUGCUUGAUUCAGUUGAUUGCACGAUUGAUAUACCUCACGAAAUUCACGACUAGUGUUAUUUACAUUUUUGAAAUUUUCUUUUAUUUUUCUGAUGCAUGUUUUAUAUAUAAAUCUUGAUGAUCUUCUGAUUGUUCCAUGAAAAAGUUGUGCAGCACAUCGUGCUUGAAUUUGUAGUGCCAAAUAGCAUAGGUCUCUCUAUCUUUGACAUGCUAGAUGAGAUAUGGAUAUGCUCGCGCGAUAUGAAUGUUCAAUUAAAUUUAGUUUUACUUUAAUUAACUUUAUUAUAAAUCUAUUUGGUCAUUUAAAUAUUAUUGGAUGUAGAGGAUUUGUCAAUAAAAAAACUAAAAACUGCAGUUUAAUGUUUGUGACAGGGUUGUGAUGGAUCGGUUUUGUUGAACAAUAGGCAACUAUAGAAAGUGAGCAAUUUGCUUUUCCAAAUAACAACUCAUUAAGGGGUUUGGACGUUGUCAAUAACAUCAAGACUGCAGUUGAAAAUCUUUGUCCAUGUACAGUUUCACGUGCUGAUAUUCUUGCUAUAUCAGCUCAAGUUGCCUCUGUUCUGGUAUAUAUAUAUUUCUAACUAACACAAUGUGUAGAGCACUCUUUUUUCAAUUAAAAAAUCUGUUGAAUGUCAAUAAGCUGUAUAAAAGUUGUUAGAUAGCUGAACUUAUAAAGUAUCUAAUUCAGGUUCAUCCCUAUGAAAAAGGGUUUGAUCUCCGAAGGUGUUGCGGAGGCACAGUAGAAUGACUGAUGAGUAGUAUUUGGGCAACUAGUGCAUAGUUUUCUUAUAGCUCAAGUAAUUGACACUGGCCUGAUCCUUCUGGCAAAUUACAAAGGGAUAUAGCCUUUGAAGGAUAUUAACUUCUAUUAUUUGUUGUCUGACAAAAAAAAAACUUCUAUUAUUUGUUUUUCAAUGUAUCUUCACAUGACCACAUGCAUAUUUGGCCUUUGGGUGUGAAACUAAGUAACUCCUUUUUAUAUUAAAAGUGCGGUUGUAUAAAUUUUUUUUUUUUUUAUAUUUGGAAAGAUAAAUUGCACUCUUUAAGAAUUGAUUUAUGGACCUCCUUCACCCAACUUAUAUGUCUCAUAACUCUUACCACUUGAGCUAUCAUUCGGGGACUACUAUAAAAAAUCUUUAAACGUAUACAAUUACUUUAAUAAAUAUUAUUCUUAAAAUAUGUGUGCCCCGACACAAACGACGCCCGACUCAAACACACUAUUUACACACGAUACUUAAUUUUUUUUAUAUAUUAUUUGAUGUCGGACCUCUAGAUAUAAAAUACACAACUUCUUCAUAAUUUAGUUUUUUUUAUUAAUUAUUGUUUCAGAAAGCAAUUUGCAUGUCAUUAUGAUAAAAAUGCCUAAUAAAACUAAAGAAAGAAAGGACACCAUAAUUACCUUUCUGUCAGGCAUAUAUACUAAUAUGUUGAAAAAGUUUAUUUAUCAAUCAACAGGGAGGAGGUCCCUCAUGGACAAUUCAACUGGGAAGAAGGGAUAGCUUAACGGCAAAUCAAACCCUUGCAAAUCAAAACCUUCCAGCACCCUUCUUCACAUUGGAUCAACUUAAAGCUUCUUUUGCUGCUCAAGGACUCAACACUACUGAUUUAGUUGCACUCUCAGGUAUAUAUACAAAAUCAAAUUCAUCACCUUUGAUAAUUGUGUGUGUAUAAUUUCAAUAUAUACAGCCUAAUUUGUAAUCAUUGAUAUUUAGGUGCUCAUACAUUUGGAAGAGCUCACUGCAGAAAUUUUAUUGACCGAUUAUACAAUUUCAGCAACACUGGAAAUCCUGACCCAACUUUGGACACUACUUACUUGGAAACACUGCGUGAGAUGUGUCCCGAAAAUGGAGAUGGCCUCGUCAAUUUCGACCUCACCACACCUAAUCAAUUUGAUAAGAAGUUCUAUUCCAAUCUUCAAAUCCAAAAGGGUUUAGUUCAGAGCGACCAAGAGCUAUUCUCCACUUGUGGUGCGGAUACCAUUGCCAUUGUGAAUAGCUUCAGUUGUGACCAGAGUCUCUUCUUUGACAAAUUUAGUGCAUCGAUGAUAAAAAUGGGUAAUAUUGGAGUGUUAACAAGGAAUAAUGGAGAAAUACGAUCACAAUGCAACUUUGUGAAUGAGAACCCGUAUGGACUAGUUGGUGGUGCUGCAUCCAAAGAUUCACAAGAUGUUUCAAUCUAAAUUAGCUCAUUGAAGUGUACAUGUUUUAAAAGCCUCAAAAUAAAAGGUUGUAACCUUGUGUGCUUUAACAAAUAGGCUAAAAGAGAGUGCAUGGCUUGCUUUGAUCUAAGUCCUUGAUAGAAGUUUCACUUCUAUUAGACUACUCAUCAAAUGGACCAGAAUUGCUAUUUUCUAGUUUUAUUAAUUCUAGUACUAAUUCCAGUCUGCUAUCAAGUGUAAUGUUCUAGAUAGUUCCCUAUAAUUGAAUGUUUCAACUUGUUGGCCAUCCCUUAAUCCUAGGGAGCUAGGUUUUUACUAUAACUUGUAUUGUUUAUAUUGGAACAGAAAUAACAAAAAAUGAAGUAAUAGCAUUGAUUGAAUUGAUUUACAUGAUUACCCCUUUAUCUCUUUGUGCCAUAAACGAAAUGCUUUGUGAAGUAUAUAGCAUCCCACACCUUUUUCACUGAGAACUCUAUUGUUACGAUCCCUUUACAAAUACAUAGGUGUACAUUCCCUCAGCCUACUUGUUAUCACCUUGAUCACGAUACAUAGCAUUGAAUGUGUAAAUAACAAUGUAAAAAUUACACGACCAGUGAACAGAAUUUUAAUUUUCUUUUAUGAAGAAAAGAAAAACGAAACUCGUACAAGUAACAUGAUAGUCUCAUCAUUUCAUUUAAAAUAGAAAGCAUUGGAAACUGGCAUCAUAUGGUUAGUGAAAAUAGUGUGUUAACAUCUUCUAAGCUUCGCCUUUUCUUUUUUUCCCCUCUCCGUGUCUUGACCGCCUAGGCGCCUCAUCCUCACUUUCACUAUCAUCAUUCCUGAAGUUGUUCGAGGCAGGAUGCUGAUCAUCUUGGAGCUGUGCCCUGUGCCCUUGCUGAUACUGCAUGUCAUCAUCAGGACCACCACUCUGACUGAGCAUGUCUUGACUCUUACCCUGCUCUGAUCCCGGACCGUAUCUAUCAUUCCGAUCACCGGUUCUUUGAUCUCUCCUGGCGAUGCGGUUUGUAUUCUGAGGUGGGGGCGGAGGUGGCGGGAACAUCGGAGGCAUAUUAACUGGCCUACCACCUCUUGGAGGAUUUGCACCUGCAACUCCCAUCCCCCCCAUAAAUGGACCACGCCCGUGAUUCAUCAUCAUCCCAAAUCCACCACCCGGGAACAUCCCAGGUUGUGAGGGUCGUCCACGAAACAUCAUAGCUGCUGGGGGACCUCCAAAAUCACCAGAGAACCUAGGACCAUAUGGGCCAAAACCUCGGGGUCCCACACCAAAAAGAUCUGGCAUACCAAAACCAUCAGGUCCAACAGGCCCAUAGGAUAAUCCAUCACCCAUCAUUGGGUUAAAACCUUGCAUUCCAGGCAUGGGUCUGGCUCCACGACCCAGAGGCAUGUGAGGCGGCCACAUCAUACCUCGGCCCCUACCUCUGCCUUGGAUAGCUGGUCCAACACCGUGACCAAAGCUCUCUUCCUCUUCAUCACUUUCUUCCUCUUCCUCUUCUUCGUUGUCCUCAAAUGGGACAAUAUCUGGAUUUUCUCCUCCAUUAUCGGGAUUCACUCCCUUUGCUUUUUCUUCUUCUCGUUUAGACUCUGCUGCAAUUGAGAUAGCCUGUAAAUGUGAAAAAGAAAGCUGAGAUUAAACUAUUUCUUAAAAUAUUACAGUUCAAUACAGCUGUUAAUAUUUCUCAAAUUCAUUCAUUCCAAUGGCUAACUCAACAGAUAACUGAUACACUUUGCAAAUAAUCAAAUGUUUAGUGCUUUUUCCUUCCGUGGAUUGGGCACCAUCCCCACCAAAAGAAAAAAAUCAAAAAAUUGCAAAGAUCAAGCAGUUGAUCAUAGCAUGUUUUAACAGCUGAAUUUUACCCCCCACGGAAAUGGGACCCUGGACAUGCUCUAUAUGCUGGUAAAAUGAUAAAAGAGAAACAUAACAUUAAACAUAAGAAUGAGAUACUACUCGUGAGAAGAACAUUAAACAAGAAGUCCUGUGGAAGCUAAAAUGGAGAUGGUAGGACAUGCGCUCGAGGAAAAAGACAUAAGAUGGAGCAAGGUCUGGUGCACAAACUCAUAGAGGUGUAAAAGAUUCUCUUGGGGACAAAUACUUCUAAAACAUUUUAAACAAGUCCCUGUGGUUUAACUAAUUUUUCAAGGAAGCUCCUACUAAUUAUUAAAAUUUAAAAUUAAAUCUUAGUAGGAUAAGGUUUUUUUGUUGUUGCUGUUGAUUGUUACCAACUACUAUCAGCCAAUAUAUGCCUAUUUAAAAAUAUUAAAAUUAUAUGGACCUGGUUAAAGACUUCUAAAUUAUAGGAACCUAUUUUUGAAAAUUAAGUAAAAGUGUAAAACUAUGAAAACCUUAUCAUAUCAGUGAAAAUAAAUAUACAGAUCCAGAGUCACUCAACUUCUCACAUUUAUACAUCAUGAACCAAUAACAGUUUUUAUUCACUGGGGAAUAAAAAGAUGAUGACAAAAUGGAGAACAUACCAUAAGCUCACUAUCCGGCUCAAGAUAAAGCAAGGAUGCCAGCUGCUCACCAAUAGAGGGUUCCAGCUCCUGACAAUCUCUACUUAUCUGCGAUUACAUACAUGAACAGAAAUAUUUAGACAUUGUCAUGAACCAACACUAAUGUCAGAUAAGAAAUGGAAAUAAACUAGAAAGGCAAGAACAAGUAACAACGUAAUACACCUCAACAAUACACCCAAGAUAUAUCAUCAAGCCAAGAGAGAAAAACUUAAUAUUUAGCUAUUGCAGAAACUUGUAAUACACUCCAACUGACCAGCUUAUGAGUUAUAACCAUCUUCUGGCCACCUAUUCUUACUUUUUGUGGUCCAUGCUCCUUAUCCUUUCUAGUGACAACCAUCACCAAAUAAUUAAAAGUACUUGGAACAUACUUUCUCCCGUUUUUGUUGCAUAUUAAUGACUACACAAAUGACUAGCAUCGCAAACUGAAGUUUUACAUUUUCACGAUUUGUUAAAAGUUCCAUGAUUAAUAAUUCAUAGAAUUCAGUUCUUCACUUCUUACUCUUGAAUUUAUCCAUGAAACUCAAAAGAUUUGUUAGAUAAAUCUGACUUAAAUGUCUAGUGGUAUUCAUUUUCAAAUCUGCCUUUAACUGAUGCAGAAGUCAUACAAGUCAAAAAGUGAAAAGGGGUGUACAAUUUGGGAAUAAACAUUAUAAAGGAACAAGAUCAACAACCAACAAAUUUAUACUACAGAUAAAUUAGGGUACAUGUGGCUCGCCCAUUUGAAAAUUGCAGAAAUUAUAUGGUUUUAGAUAAGGAAGAGGAAAAGAGAUAAGUUAGUCCCUGGAUAAAGUUUCCUUGUAUCUUCGGAUGUUAUAGAAAAGACAAAGCACUAAGAAUCCUAAUUAGCUACGGAAAAAAUUAUGAAAUAUAAAGAAAUAUUAAAACUAAUCCUAAUAGAUAAGAUAUUCUAAAAUAUAAAAUAAAUAUGACAUGUUUUCUCUCACUACCCCUCAUGCUAAAGCUUGUUAAGUUACAAGUGAACCUUUUAAAUAAAGCAAAAAUGACCAAAUAAUAGAGUCUGGUUUCCUCAAAAACAUGGCUGAAGAGACAACUCAAACAUCGCUUCGAAUUAUCCAUUGCAUCAAGGAAUAUGCAAGAGCAUGAAUUAAAACUUCUCAAGCCAAACUUGUAAUAAUCUCUUUUAUUAGUUAAAUCAAAAUACCAAAAAAUCAAAUUAACGAAAAAACUCCAAAAUUAACUUUGUUGGGGUUAAGUAAAUGUUUUCGAAGUUAUUAUACUUUGAUAUUUAAUCAGAGGUAAUCGUUUUUUAACGGACGUUGUAGGGUCUAACAUUUUCCCUGUGAUUGACUCUCUGAUGUUUUGGUAGAUGUAAUCAUGUAAAAAUCUCAAUUAAAUGGCGAUAUGUAAUGGAUUUUCCAAAGAACCAAGGAAACACAAGAUAAAACAUUAACCAAGAAAGUGAGGUGAGAUUUAAACUUUAAAUAUGGCGGAUGGUGGAUCCAACUACACUUUCACAAGGAUCACAUCAAUAGCCCGAUAUAUUCAAUCCUUGCUAUAUUCAAGAAGGAUAUGACUUCAGAACGAAAAUUUCUGUGUAAGAUUAAGAGCCACAUUAAGAGAGGGAAAAAAGAGUGUAGCAUGUCGAGAGUAAGACAAGAAAACAACUCUUAUUAUGCUAAAGAGUAAGACAAGAAAACAACUCUUAUUAUACUUUGAAUAAGAUCAUAGAAAUGGAAAAGAUAAUACCUUCACUGGUAAGUUCUCAUUGUAUGGGUUCCUUAAAUGGCGUGUUUUGUGGAAUGACAGUUCACAUAACUGCAAGAAAUACCAUUAGACAUUACACAGUUUCCAAUAGUGGUUCAGGAACAAACUUCUCCCAACAAAGUUAGGACACAGAAACAAUAAAAAAAAUUAUGUUGUGCUUAACUAGACAGCCGGCUGGGUUCAUAAUCUAGUUGAAAAUCCUUUUCCUUUUGUGAUCUAAAUAUCUAAUAGAAAAGAAAAAUAAAAACUGAAUCCCACGGAGAUUACAUCACCGAGCUUCUUUUUCUUCUUUUUAGAUGAAACGCUUAUAAAGACAACUGUUCACCAUAAAACACAAAGGUAUACUCCAAAUAUUUUACUGUAUUGCAACUAAAUGCCGAAGGUAAUUAAUUUAAAAGUUGAUCCAGCUCAGAAGUUUGUAAUUUUAGCUUCCCUUUGCCACAGUCUUAUAAGGGCCCGUUUGGUGCGACGUAUAGUAUAAGACCUGAUAGUAUAAGACCUGAUAGUAUUAGGCCUGAUAGUAUAAGCCCUGAUAACUUUCUUAUACUAUCCAGCGUUUGGACAUACACUGUAUAAUUUACCAUAUCGUUUAAAUUAAUGCAAUUUUAUGUUUAAUGAAGUAUUGAAUAAUGAUAUAAAAUAAAAAUCAAAUAUGGAGGUGAUUAUAACGGUGGUGGUGGUGGCGGUGGUGAUGGAAGUAGUGGUAGGUUGGUGGUGGUGGUGGCAAUUGUAACACCCCAAUUCUAAUCGGUAUAUAUAUUGCAAAUAUCAUAAUGAUAAAAUUUCAAACGAUCGUGAGUGUAAGACCCACAUUUUUGAAUUAGAAUAAUUAAUUAAUUUCCGACUCACGCCUAAGAUGUUGUGUAAGCGUGAGAGGAGCCUGAACAAAUAGAUUUUCUAUUCGGAGCUUCAAACGAAGAUUCCACACGCGUGUACCGAAUUUUUUCGAUGUUAUUAAUCUUUCUUGAGAGAGAAGUUUUCUUAUCCGACAUCAUCUGCAAAAAGUAGUUUUUCGGGUUAAAUCGACCCACACCGACUUUGGAUCGUUUGCUUUAAUUCCAAGAAACAUGUUUCGAGUUCUGGAAUUACCAUACGGCAUGCCAAACGAGCCCUAAGUAUGUUUGGAAUUACCUCCGGGAUUAUUUCUAUUUCAGAGAAAUCAAGUCAAGGAAGUUGAUGAGAAAGUUUUCAUACCUUCAACCAUUUAACAGAGAAAUUCCGCCCGUAAUGUGCAGUUCCGUGAGCAUAUUUCCAGUUCCCGCCACUACCAGAACCACCAUUCCUGGAUGUCAUCUUUGCACAACCCUGCCAAAAUGUAGAUAGGUCCAGGUUCAGUGGCUUGGCCAUAGCCCAAGCAAAGCCAUCUACGGAUCUUUUGUCAAUAAAUAAAAUAAAAAAGUCCCCAAUCCAUAAGCAGUUAAAUGCUGGGGGGGAGCAUUUGGCUGCCUUAGUGAGACAUAAGGACUUAAUAAGUUAAUCAAGUAACCAAUUAGGCACGCAUAAUGUGCAUUUUAAAGUUAUAGGCUUAAUUGCACUUUUUUCCUUCUAUUUGCACUGCAAUUUUGGCCCCCUAGUCAAAUUCGAGCUAAUCCAGUACCUCUAGUUUUAAAAUUUAGUAAAUAUGGUCCUUCUAUCAAUUUUCAUAUCUAAAAAAUCCUUGAGUGCUCAUUGUAUUUAAAUAUUUUGGAGUUUAUGAUGGAUUGGAAAUAUAAAAUAAAUUUGAAAGUUUAAUAGUAAAAUAUUCGGUAAAAGUUUAAUAAAUUUUGAAGAAUUUUAUAGGAUGUGAGACUCGGUUUAAAGAGGAGAGUAUUGGGAAUUUCUCAAUUUAAACUAACUAUUUUGGUUGAUGGGUUUUGAGUGGAAUAAUGUUUAAAAUAAAUUAAUCGACUCAAUUUGUGGAGAUUUUACUUAGGAAAUGAGAGUUUUAACUUGUAAGUACAAUAGGGGGCUUAAUUUUGAUCCAAAAAACAAUAGGGGGCUUAAUUAUAACAAUUUUUAAAAUCGAGGGACUAAAUAUGCUAAAAACAUUAUUUGGACACCAAAAUAGCACAUCAGCUAUAAUAACAAUAUGAAAAGUGCAAUUAGCUAAAAUUAUACGAUAUCCCCUCUAGUGGAGAUAAAUUAUGAGCAAAAGAACCUUUACCAAGCAAGCAACAACACACAAUUAAUUGGAUGAAUGAAUUAAUUAUGCAAUGUGUUACGCUCAUUUUUACCACUAACCAAUCAUUAUUAACUUAUCUCGAAAAAAUACACUCAGCAUCUUAGCUACUUCUAAUGCUUAUAAGGAACUUUUCAGAGAAGCCUCCAUCUAAAAAACAAAUAAAAACACACUGCUAGAUAAAAAUAUGUGGUUAACUGAAAGUUAAAAGAAACUACUAAAAACAGCCAUAUGUUUUAUAGAGGUCGCAGCAAAGAGCUGUAGAUUUCAUCUUUCAUUGUAAGCUAAGAAAAAUAUUCAGUACUUCUAUAGAAAUAUUAAAAGUUUUAGCAGCUUCAAUGAUGUUAACGGGAGAGGGAACUUCAUGGCAGCAAACCCAAAAUCCACCAUUUCGAUAGGACAGAUGGAGCUGAGGCUUACGGUGGAAGCAUGUCAGCUAUAGUAAACAUAUAAUAAAUACGUAAAAAGUAUAGAAAAAAAAAUGUAGAAUAUAAAAUAAAAUAAACAAGAAAUACAUGAAAUUCACCAAAAGUAUCAUUAUUAGAAGCCCUUGAAGCACUGAAUAAAUAAGGCAAAACCACUAAGAAAAAAUAGCUUGGAUAGAAUUGAAAAGGAUGUAGAGGGACAUAGACAGAGGAACAGAGAACAGAACAGGAUAUACAGAGCAAGGAUUGAGACUAAGAAAAUAGGGAAUACGGAAAAGAAAGGGAGGAAGAGAAUGGAUUGCUUUGUGUUUGCUGGAGAUGGGUAGUUCACUAGAGAAGGACUGCUUUCCAGAGAUGACAAAGGAGACGUGGAAGCAGCUGAGCAGGUGAAUUUUAGCCUCUUGAGUUAAGAGCAUAGACGUGUGAAUUAGAGCAAUCAGCAAAUAUGUGCGAGAUUGAGGGAAGAGAUGUGCAGGUCUGUGUUAGGGCUUGGAUAGGUCAGUAGGAUUUUUGCAAGUAAUUAUGGGCUUGAUGGGUCAUAAGGGUUUAAAGCAGGUCUCUGAUACCAGUCUGUUUUCAUUUCUUUAGGUAAUUUAGAAACCAUUUCUGCAAUAGCUGUAAGAACCACCAUAUUUGCCACACAAUAGCAGCCACCAGGCCACUAUGUGAAGUCACCAUGUCACAGCCAUGAAAAGGUGUUUUGUCAAAAAUCCACCAUGUCAUACCGCCAUGGCUGCCAUUUGCCAACACUUGGCAGCUUCUAAAAUAAAUCAUUAAUAUACUUUUGAAACCCUCCAAAUCAAAAUAAGAGCAACUUGUUAGAUUUAUUGCAUGUGAUAUCAGCAAAGAACCAUAGACAUGGAUGUGUCAUUGAAAAUUUGAGAGAAUAGAAAAAGACAAAAGAGGAAAAAACAACCCAUGCUAAGCAAUACCAAAGAACCAAUGAUUACCAUCAGACUUUUUAGGUCUCUAUUCUAAUCAUCAAUAAGCAGUACCAACCUCACCAAUAACACUUUCAAAGAAGCAUCUUACAAAAAGAAACUGUGUCAAAGAUUUUAAAAAUGAGUGCCAGAAAGGCAACAUGGUUUAGUCAUGACAUUAAAUAUGAAUCUUUGUCCAUUAAGCGAAAAUUGACCUAAUAGUAAGCCCCCCAAGAUUCUUAUCUGUUAAUUAGUUUUCCACCUAGUAGUCAAAUAAAAUUAAUCUAGAGGCAUGCUAUGUUUUAAAGAGGUGUUGACAGCUGAAUAUUUUCAUUUCACCGGUCGAUUGAUAGCAAUGAGAUUUGUGGCGUAAAUCCAUAAAAUGUAACAAGCCUAGCCAAGUGGGAGGUGAAAUACACAACAUACCUGGAAAUGUCGAGUACGGUUGACUGAGAAAAUCAAUAUCACAUUUUCCACAGAGUCAAAAGCUUCAUUUAGUUUAGAUUCAUUGCUCCUUUGAGUUGCCCAUACUCCUUGUUGUACAGAUAACUCCAAAUUUUCACGAUUGCAACUUUUAACAAUAAAAUACCUAAGGUUUUUAGAGGAAAAGUACAUUAGUGUAACAAAAAAAAACUUAUAAUAUCAAAUUCAUGAAGUUACUCAGACAUUUUGCUGUCUAAAAUGUCAAACUUUAUCAUUUUUAUAAUAAACUUCCUUCUCACCUUCAACAGGUCAUUUUUUUUCAUUUUUGUACAUUAGAACUGAAAAUAACAGCCAGACAAGUAUUAACAGUAAGUAGUGAAGAACUUCAAUGCUUAGCUUGUUCAGCAAUCAGCUAUCAUAUUUCCAGGAUGAAUUAGAAGCCAGUGUGAGGACUUUGUAUAAAGUAAAUUAGUGAGUGGUAAAGAAAAUACGAGAAAUCAACUAGGAGUCUGAACCUAUGGCACAACAUGAAAUAUAUCUGUAUUGAAUUUCCAAGUGAACUGCAGUAAUCUUCAGAGAAACUAACUACAUAAGGCAAAUGUUGGUAAAAUCUCCCAGACUAUUACAAGUAAAGAGUUCAGAAAAAAAAAGUAAAGAGAAAGGUGAGCUAGAAGCAAGAAAGAGUGUAUGUGAAUCUGAUUCUCAUUGAAUGAUUGAGAAGUGCACAAGUACAUAAAUAUAUAGGCUCAGCCUAUGCUUAGCUGUAGCCUUCAACUAACUCUAAUUUCUAACUGUGACAGCUGUGCUAACUACUUUCUAACUGCACACUAGAGGCUAUGAUACUAUACGGCCAAUUACAUGAUAUGCCAUAUACUCCAAUACAGAAAAAUGAUACUAAAGUAUGUACUUUCUUGUAGUGGUAAUGUAACUAUCAGCAUACUCAUAACAGAUUUUAUCUAAGCCCAAUUGAAAAUUACAAGACUCUGAACACACCUAGAUACUCCUUGGGGUAAAGGAGUUGCAGUUCUAUUGGCUUGAAUGGGCUGGCCAUUUGCAAGAUUUUGUGUUUGGCUCUGGCUGAUCUGCUGCUGAGACUGCUGAACUUGUUGCUGCUGCUGGACAUUUCCUGACUCUGCUCCUAAUGGUUUUCCAGCUACAACUUGGUUUGUAGAAUUAAUUCCUUGAGGAAACUGAGGUUUUUCAACUUGUUGAUUAUAGCCAGUGCCCCUUUGAUGGAAAAAUUUGUUAGAGGAGUUGUAAUUGUAAGAUAAAUGUUGGAUCUUUUGAAGGACCUCUUCAACAGGAGGAGGAGGUCCAGGAGACUUUGCAUGCCUAUAUCGGCAAUCAGGCCCAUUAGGGCAAAAUCCUAACUUGUACCUGCAGAUUCAAAAAAUAAUAAUUAUAAAUAGACAUUUUGAUAUUACCAAUGAAGUUAAAACUUAAAAAGCCAGACAAAAUACCGAAUCAGAUUUAGGAUGAAAGAAUUUUUCUUAGACAGAAAAUGUUUAUACAAGAGUUAAGUAAAAAAUAAAUGAAAGAAACAAUAGAGAGAUAGAAAAUUCACGGAUAACACUGAAAAGCUAAAAAAGAGCACAGGUACGUGAUCCAAGCACAUCAAACCAAUAAAUCAUUCCAAUCUCUUUCAAUAUCCAACAGAGAAGGCAGCCAGCUCUAAAACUUCAACAAUCCCUAAAGCUUAAGCUGUUUAAUGAAGACAAAUGAAUGGUUUAUCAAAUUUCUAACAAUGCCCCACAUGUGAGAGCCCAUCGGGCAAGGAGCAUGGACGAGGUGUAGGCCCACUCAGCAAUCAACAUUUUAUUAGAAGAAUAGGGGUGGUAAGAAGAAUCUAACUCUAGACCACUUGGUCAUAGGACAUAAGACUCUAAUAUCAUGCCAUAAAGGCAUAAACUCAUUAUCCCAAAAGCUUAAGUUGUUGGGUGAAGUCACAUGAUUGAUUUUAAAUUAUAUUUCUAACAACUUCAAUACCAGAACAUCAUAAUGAUGCUAAUAAGUAACACUAUAUCACUAACAAAUAAAACAGAAACUUCUUAGCACAAACUUAUUCUCCUCCAGUGAAGGGCAAAAAGUCCAAAUUAUCACAAACACUGUACACAAAUCCGCAGAAUCUAUUCUUACCCAUCUUUCUUCACCCAAGACCCCUGAAGUGAGUCAUUAAGCUCCUCCAACUGUUAUGGGCCAACCGACUGUUCAGAAAAUAUGCCAAAGAGAUCAUUCCAAACAGACCAGCAGCUAGAAUGCAAUGUUUAAUGAAAGUAGAAGCUCGAAAGUCAAGCUAGAAUAAAUGUUUGAUCAACAAAAAACAGUAAAUGUCCUGAACAUUUUGUCUCCUUCCACCAAUGACUAUUUUCAAGACUCUAUUGAUCAGUCUAAACAUAUAAAAUAAAUAAAAAAUUAGUCAUUGACAGUAUCAAAUACCAACACCUUUCUUACAUCAUAGUGAUCACUUGCCAUCUCAGGUUAUUGAUUAACUUCUAUUAUUUAUUCAAGAAUCACCACUAUACACUCUUACUUCACUGUUUCUCAGUUGACUAAAAAUACUUCUAGAAAGGCACUUCAAAGUGAAAUGCUUAAUAAUAAUAUGUAGAAAUAGAAAGCACCUUAAGGUCAAAACCUGGUUUGGAAGGUCCAAUCACAGCAUAUUAAACUUGUUUCUCCCAAAUUAGUUAAUUGUAAUCAUACAGAGAAUGGUAAAGGUAAUUUUAUGAUCCAAUAGUAAGAACCUACUAAGAAUGUAGACAAAAUGAAUUAACAUAAAAGGUUACCAGACCAAGCCAGGUCAGCUGGUUCAGUACAUAUAUAAUCAGCAUUUUUUAUAACUGUGAAAAUCAUAAUUACCUAAAUAGCAGCAGCACAGUAAUCAUUUCAGCAUGCAGUCAAGCAUGCUUUUGAAGGACUAUACAUACUUCUACUCACAAAACAUUGUUCUUUCUCUUGGUCAGUGAUCUUCAUUAAAGUGCAUUGUAGCUAACUCGACAUGCUGUGAGAACUAGAUGCUAGCCCUCUGGUUUAACGGUCUUUAAGAGUAAUGUUUACUUACAAAAAAAUAUCCUCCCUCCCCUUUAAACUCCUCCAUCCAAGUAUAUAAGCCGAGAUUUCAGUCGCAACUUUGCUACAAGACUUACUUUCACCAAUCCAACCCUUCCUUUCUAAGUACCAAAGUUGCAUCUACGUCGAAACCCUAUUUCUAUAACUUCCCAAUUUCUUAACGAGCGGGGAACUAACGGAAGCAAAAUAUUGUUUUCAUUCUUUCAUCUAAUCAAACAGUCCUAGUCUAUAAUAAGAGCAAGUGUUUAAGCCAAACAAUCCUCUAUCCCAAAACUAGUAACCUUGACACCAGUUCAAUUGACUCACCAAUCACACCUAAAACUUACAAUCAAACAAGAAACAGAACAAACGCACAAUCUUCAAUAACACACAUACACACAAAACUACAAGGAAAAGCGAAAAAAGCCAAGAAGCAUUAAUCACAUAAUCACAAACACACAUACAUACAUGUUACACUCCUUGAUAUCUUCAUUGGUGUGCUUAUACACACAAUCCUGCUCGCGGCACUCUCCAUAGAGCCUGAAGAAUCGACACACCGGCAUCCUGGACUUGUCAUACUGAUGCAGGAACCCACACGCGUCGCCCUUCAUGCACAAGCUCCGAAGCCAGUGGCGGCACACCGUCUGCCGGUAGCUCCGGCGCCCGACGGUGACGUUGUUGACGGGCGCGGGGGCGGCAGCCGGUGGGGGGGGGGCGGGCGCCCCGGUGGCNNNNNNNNNNNNNNNNNNNNNNNNNNNNNNNNNNNNNNNNNNNNNNNNNNNNNNNNNNNNNNNNNNNNNNNNNNNNNNNNNNNNNNNNNNNNNNNNNNNNNNNNNNNNNNNNNNNNNNNNNNNNNNNNNNNNNNNNNNNNNNNNNNNNNNNAGGCGGACGUGGGAUCAUGGUGGACGAGGGGUCCGGAAGGUGCUGCGGCGGCAACGGCGGUGGUGGCGGCGUCGAGACCGCCUUCGAAAUCGAAACUGAGAACUCCCUCGGUGUCGUCCAUUGAGGGUUUUGUUUGAAAGUGAAUUAGGGAUUUGAGGGGGAAAUGGUAAUAUGAUGCAUUUCGAGAGGAAACUCACUGUAAUGGACACAGAUCAAAACUGCAGUGAACACUUGUGUGUGUUUUUCUUUUUCUUUUUUCAUUAUUUAUUAUGUGUAACUGUUUUUUUAUUUCUUGCUAUUAUUGGUGAAUUUUGUAUGUUUCUUUUUUUAUUUGAUUAAUUAUGGGGCCAGAAGCCCAAACUAUACCCAUUACAACAACAUCACUUGAUUUUGUUUGUGUCAUUGUUUCCUCAUUUUUGUAACAAAAAAAGAAACCCUUACUUUUGAAAUAUUUGCAAUAUAAAAUCAAAUUAACUGUUAAUUCAUGACACUUAUUAAAUGGAAAAAUGGAAGAUGAUGAUAAUUGUUAGAGAAAAUAAUAGUACUUUAAGAGCUCGCUAGUGAUCAUAAUAUUAUGGAGAAUUUUUUUGUUUAAAUAAUAUAUAUCAUUCACUGAGACAAUCUUAUUUGAGUCGGGUACGACUAUUAUGGACUGCAAAGCUCUUGGACUAAGUAUUUUAAUCAUAUAUUUAUUAAGAUUAUAGGAUAUGAUAAGCAUAUUGGCUUAUCCAUUCUAGAUCAUUAAUGUAAUUUUUUAUGUAGAAAGACGAGUUAGAGUGGAAAUAAGUAGGAUAUGGGAGUUGAGGAUGUGGUAGUUACUUUUCUCUUCUCAAUUUCAACCUAUAUCAUUACCGCCUACACUCUACACCAUCGCUAUCACCACCUAAUGUCUUUCACCAUUGUUUGACACCUACCAUUGUAACCAUUUGACACCUCCCACCACCGCCACCAUUGUUGCUUGAUAUUUCCAACACAACCAUCGUAACCAACACCCUCCAUCGCCAUCACCAUUGCUAUCUAACACAUCUUCCAUCACACUGGUGAGCACCCUCCACCACUACAUCGUCUCUUGGCAUCAUCUAUCACUGCCACUCAACCCCUUUCACAAACACUUAUCACCCCUACCAAUGCUAUUGUUGACAAACAGCCUCCACCGUCAUCAACACCCAACACCAUCCAUCAUCAUUGUUGUUGAGAACCCUCCACCACUACACAAGACAAACACCAUCAUCUUUGUCUCCCUCCACCAUUUCAAGUUUUCCACCAUCCCUAGACACCAUUCACCACCACCACCACAAAGAACUACUCGUCGCAACCAUCCAUGAACAUUGUCUAUAUCCAUCACAACUUGAUAAUCAACAAUACUUGAUAGCAUUCACAAUCAAUAUUGUUUGACGCUUUCCACCUCCACACAAUGUGGGGGAACCAUCCACUUCUAUCAUCAUUGCCAUAAAUCUUUCACCGUGCACCCACGGCUCCACCUUCCUCCUCCAAUAACAAGCCCCACUCACCAUCAUCGUCUGGUCCUUCCAUCACCGCCAUCAUUUUUAUGCACACAACACUGCCACCGCCAUCUACCACAACUCUACCACCACAUGUCACACUCCACCUCGCCACCGCUACUUGACACCCCAUUGUCGCUGUCACUGACUGCCUCCACUAUCACCACCUACCACACUUCACUUCCGUUGCUACCAUUAUUACUACCACCAUUACUAUUCUCUACCACUAUCACCCAUAUAAGAGGAUAAAUUACCAUUUUACUGCUAGAUUAUAUUUUUCAAUAGAACCGGUCAAAUAUGUUUGGAACCCACUAUUACCAUUGAGUAUACAUAUCCAGUAGCAUCUUAAUAGCCAGCAAAUUAGCGCUAAAAAACAUCAACUGUAAUAUGGACUAAUUACAUAAUAAAAUGAAUACUAAACACUUGAAUUAUGGCAUAUAACUUAAUAGCAAAUUACAUUGUACAAUUUGAAUACAAUCCAAGGUUCACCAAUCUAUUCCCAAGUCUCUGGAAACAAAGAGUUUGUCAAUAUAUUGGAUUAGAGAUGCCGAUGACGAGACAUAUAUUUGCAUUUGAUCUUUUGCUGACGCCUCUGAAUCAAAAAAUGAAAGCAACAAAAGGAAAAGGGGGAAAAUGAGCAUCCUGAAUGCAUAAAUUUACAAGACAAAUUUUGAACAACAGUCUCUGAAAAUGGUUUUUCCUAUUUCCAUUCUUCUACACUGUCCUAAUCCCACAUUUAGAAAGAAUGGUAAGAAGAAUAUUCACAAGAUACAAUGUGAUGGAGCAGAAUUGAUUUGAUAUUAUCUCUCUUGGUUUUAGCUUCAAAAAAAAAUUACACUAGUUUAAUAAUAUGGUGCAAAGGACGCUUAAACAUUCAAUUCAUGUAGCUUUGAUGCUCCUAGGAGUUGCUCACAACAAUGUGGGUAGAACCAUAGAAGAAUAAAAAUACUACUCUACCCCCAAACUUUAAGGUUAAACCUGAGAAUUGAGAUAUGCAACUGCUUAGAAAAAGUCCCAAAAAACGAUGAAAGUGUUGCCUGUUGAAUAGAUCUCAAAUAAAUCAUUUCUCUCUCGCUACCCUGCCUCCCCUGUUCUAGCACUAGACCCAACUACACUGUCAAGUAAUUUUCCAGGAAUUAAACUUCAAUAAAUGAGAAAGUAAACUUAAGGCUACACUUACCGUCCUCAUUGAGUUUCUGCAAAAGCUGUUCCUUUGUAGGAAGGAGAUACAUUCCAGCAGAAACAGCUUUCCUGAUAGCCCAACCAUGGUAAGGUGCAAAUACCUGCUCAUAAGCCUUGGAAGCUGGAUCCCUAAGGGAGUUUCCCCUGCCACAAGAUAUUCAUCUAUUGGGGUUAACACAAGUGUUUCUUAUAGAUAGAUACAUUUUCUGUGCUACUUGCUCAAUAUCCGACUAUUUGUUAAUUUGAAUAUGUAAUUAUGUAUCAAUAACUAACAUCAGCUAACACAAUAUGGCUAUGGAGAUAAUCACUUUUUGCUAUAAGGCAAGUAAGUUUUUGUGGCGAAAGAAGGUACUUGGGGAUAAGUUAAGGCUAAUGUUGCCAUUUAAAGCUUCUGAAAAGUUGUAGGACUGGAUGCCAAAAUUUAAAGCUUCUUCAAGAAUAGCUUUUAUUUGAUACACUGCACUGAGAUUUGGCACCAAAUGGCAAGAACCUCAAUCUUAGUUUUAAAAUUACAACUAUCUCCAUUAGACUCUGUAGUUACAUUACAAAAGAUGGUUGUGAAAAAGUUCUUUAAAAGCAAAAAAUUUAAGGUAAUGGAAAUCAUCAUCAUCAUUAAGGAACAUUUCAUUGAACUAUUCACUAUUUUCAUUUGUUUUGACCCUUGUCUAAAAGACCAGAAUGGACAAGCUGGUGAUCAUUCACCGGUUUAGUGCAGGCCGAACCCUCUGAUUACUUCCAUGGUCAAACUGGUAUCAAACAUAACAGUAAAAACAGAAAAUGAUGAAGUGUGAAGUGUGAAUUGGUACUUGAAUGUUUCAAGCUACCUAGGCCUAACUGGGAUACAGUAUUUGAAGCAUUCACUUCUAUGAUAUUAUAGUGCUUGCAAACAUUUCUUAACCCAAAAGUGUUUGAUAAAAAUAGGACAAUAAAGGCUGAAAUAUCACAUGACCGCAACAGAAAUGAACUGCCUUUACAACCCCUUCUGACAAAUCAGAACUAGACAGUUUUUUAAACAAAACCAAGGUUUUUCAAAUGAAAAACCAAAGCAAUUAGCACCUUUGAGAAGAUUGUAAUCAGUAGAUUUGAAAAUAAACAAAAAGAAAAAGGAAAUACUUCCAGUUUAUCAAUUUCUACUAAAUUUUCUGGGUCAUGCUGGUUUGACAAUGAAACUGGUCAGGAAACAGAAUCCGAAUUAAUCAGUUACAGUGGGAAGAGGGGAAUAUACUCAUUGUUGUCAAACUAUCAACUUGUAGAAUCUUGAAAGUUCACAAUUUCUCUGUGAAAUCGAGUUAAUUCACAUUAAUACUUGAUUCUGGAUAGACUUCAGACAAACUGCUUAAACUCACAUGAAUUUGAGUUUAUGAAAGAGUCAGCAAGUCUUCAGGGAAAUGGAAACUCUACCCAAAAUGUAGUCUUUUAUGCAUGAAAUGUUGGGGCUAGGGCUCAAUCAUAAAAUGCAAAACAUAAACAUUAGAUUUAUUUAUACGAUUUUAAAUAUUACAUUUGUACUAGGUAAAAUCCUAUGAGUUUAUGAGUUGGGACUAUAAGAAGAGUUUAAAGAAGCUCUAAAGGUAUAUAUAGAUUCUCGAGUUUAACAACCCUUAAUUGAAUAUACUGGUCACAGGACAAAGAACAGCCAUAAACAAACACAUUGUUCAACAAGGAGUUUUUUAUUAUAGAUUAUAGAUUAUAGAUGCUAUAAUGACAAUAAGACGGUAAGUCAAUGAGCUUGUAACUCAAUUGGCACCAACCCCAGUCUUUGUGAUUGAAGUUUGAUGGUCAUGUUGAAUGUCAAAUUCGCUACUGGGCUAUUUUUCUCCCCUACCCCACAAGCAACAGGGGCUGAAAUCAAUUACCAACCUCCUUUUUUCACCCUGGCCAUCUGGGAUCCACAGAUGAAAAUUAGAAGCUAUUCUUCCAAUUUUUCAUCCCUCUUCAGUUUCAUAGCAUAAUUUUAUCCUAUCUUAAUAUUGCACAAAGCAAAACAUAGCAAUUUAUAAACAGAAGAAACUAGCACAAAGCAAAAUGUAAAGCAGUGAGUGAUGUAGUACAUACUCAGUGACUAGCAUUUGUUCAAAGAGUACUCUGACCAUGUCAAGUCCACGCUUUACUCUCAACAGAUUUCUGGUAUGGCUGCCCGCAGUCCUGACAGAAUCAGCUUGUACAUCCCGAUCAAUCAAAGAAUGUAAAGUCGGAAUGGACUUCGAUGCCUCUGAUAAAUCUACAACCUAUGAUCAUCAAACAAUAAACCAAAAACCUUGAAACCUUGGCAUAACAAAAGUAAGCUAAAUCAUCAUAAUAAAUAGCAUUAAGUAGAUACACUAAGUACUAAGUGCCCAACAUGGAGAUGAAACUAUAUGCUCAAUCUCACUUCAUGUCUUGAGAUCAUUAAAAGAUAAAACUAAAUUACACAAAAAAAAAACUAUUUCACUAAUCCAAAGAAUUAAAAAAAUUGUUUAUUUUUCUUUGUAAUCAUAAAAAAUGAGCAUGAUUUAAAUCAAGGGCUCUCAGCUGAAAGCAAGAAAAAAAGUGUGAAUUCCUCAGCUGAGACAUUCUACUGAAAGCAGCAACCAAAUAAAUAAAGAUUCAGACUUUCGAAGACCCUUUUGAGAAUUACAACAAACCCAAUUAAUCCAAAGCGUUACAGCUGAAUCAAAAACCCAUGAUCAUGAAUCUACACAUUACCUUGGCAACAUAAUCCCUUUCAGCGAAUUUGAAGGCGACACCUAAGCAUCCGAAGAGAGGGGAGACGAGAGAGCAUGCCUGCGAGAAGGGAGCAACCUCCACCUCUGCCUUCUGCGAAUCGGCGACUGCGCUGGCGAGGUCCUUGAAUGCGCCGGCGAUUAGACGCAGUGUUUUGUCGCCGUUGCUAUCCGCCAUUGAUAGCCAAGGAGAGGGAUCUUCUGUUGUUGUCUUGUGUUCCUCGAUGUCGACACUGAGAAUUUGUUCUUUGCUGCAAUGUGGCAAUCACUCAAUGCAUGAUAGAAGGCAUCAUCACUUUUCUGGAAAUAUGAAUUUCCUCCAUUGUUAAUCUCUAUUUAAAAAUGUAUGUAUAAAUAUUAACAUAGUUUUUUUUUUAUUGUCAAUGUCAUAGUUACUAAAUAAAAUAAUUAUUGUCACCCCAUCACAAAUAAUUAAAAUAAAAAAUGUUAAACAUUAUAAUCUUUACAUUGUUGGUGCACACGGUUAAAUGUAGGCAAAAUAUGUAUUAGUUCAACUGAUGUGAUUUGUUGCGUCUGUAGCUAUUUUGUACAUGAAGGCUCUAUUUUCACUUGUGGAAUUGAUCGUUGUUUGGCCUGGACGAUGUGAAAUCGGCGUACCAAGAUAAUCUCCUAGAACUCUCUGCUUUUAGUUACCUAAGUGUUGUCAAUGGAAAAUAUGUGUUCUCUCCCUAAAGUUCUUGGCCAUGAUGUUGCAGUUUCUACAAAUCUACUUCCUCAGUCCGCCGAGAGGUGGUCUCCUUUGUUUGUUGGUACGGUGAAGAUUAACAUCAACGCCUCCUUCAUAAAGGAUGUGGGCACGGGUUGAGGCAUUAUUGCUCGUGAUAUAAAUGUCAAGGUAUUUGCUAUUGCAACAAACUGGUGAUUGGAUGUGUUAUCCUCUUUUUGUUGAGACUUAUUGUUCUAAAUGGGCAUUGAAUCUAGCUCAUGACUUGGGAUUUGGAAAUGUAACAUUUGAGAUUGAUCAUAAACAUUUCUACAAUUUGGAAGUCAAAGUUGUCGAAUCCGACCAACUUGGGUUGACACAACUGGCCCAUGUUCCGACUUUAACUCUUACAUCUUCAUAGGUCGAGAGUUCGAAUCUUCAUGCGUCAAGUAAAAUAUCAAUCGAUGGGAAACCUUCCUUAUGAAGAUUCUCGACGCUCCUACCAAGGAGUGGACCUCUGCUGGUCACUCCAGCAUGUCACUGACACUCUGUCCGAUAGUUUGAGGUGUAUUCUUUUUCUUCUACCAUUUUAAAGAAAAUAAAAAACACAAGUUGUAGAAUCCUCUUACUUUUCCACUUUGAUCCAGGAUUGUCUUAGUCUUUUCUGCUGCCUGUAAUUUGAUUCAUGUAAAAUGGUAGUAACAUAAUGUUGUGGCCGACUCUCUUGCACGGAAGGAUUAUUCCAUGAUUUGUUCCCCUUCUUUGCUCUGAUGUGCCAUCUUUUUUUUUGGUUCGUUUAAACUUUUUUGUCAAUGGUUCGUUUAAAUGAAGUUUUCGGUUAAAUGUAAAAAAAAAAUUCAUUGGACCGUUUGUGGACAAUGCAGAUUGGACAGAAUACGGCCCAAUAUCAGACUUUACCUCUCACUAUAUGCAUUGGGUCCAAUUUUCUCAUUUUGAAAGCGCAUUGUGUCCAAUAUUAAUUUAACACAAAAAAAAAAGCUAAAUUUUAAUUUAAACAAUAAGAUAAUGAAGUAUACUUAAAUGUUUAUGUAAAAUGCCUUUCCUCCUGUAAUAUUUUUUUAAUGUAAAAUAUAUUUACACAUGUUUUUUAAUUCAAGAUUCCCUAUUGUGAAAAUUAGUUUAGUCAUCAGAUUUAACAAAUGUGUCACUUGGGGAAAAAACACCAAUCAUUUAGUCAUGGGAUUUAAAUUUAAUAGAAUAAAUGUUGUGCAUUUUUAGUCACAAUACAAUCAGACAUUCUGAUUGAACAGUACAAUCUAAUUCUCAGUUCCUCACAAAUCAAGCAUAGCUCUAUACUUGGCCUCAAAAUUCAUCCUUUGACAACCACAUAUGCACAAACCACUAUCACUAAAUAGUAAAUACAUGUAAUACAUGUAAUAUAUACCCAAAAACUACAUAAUGUAGGUAGUAGUAGUAUAGAGGAUUCAGCUCUGCACAGCUCAGACUCAUUUUUCCUUGAUCAGUCAUAAGCGGCAGUUAACCCAAAAUCACAACAUUUAACUCACAUAAAAAUCCAACCCUCUAUGAAAUCCAAUUUUGAAUUUUUUCCUACUAAUCUUUUCCCCUCACUCUAACAGCUUGAAGACAAAGAUGACAAAGUAGUAGCAGAUGAUGUUCUUGGUGAGGGAGAGGAAUUCUUCAACACCACAGUUGGCAAAAUGCUAGUUUUUCUCCUCUCAUGUUCCUUGAUCAAUUCACCACCAAACAAUUCCAACUUGUCCAAAUUUGUGUUCUCUGCUACCUUCCUUCCUUUGAACAAAAUAGACUCCACAUUCUUCUGACCCAACAUCUCCUCCGAUACCGCCAACAAAUCCGACGCCGCCUUGCUUUCGGCCUUCGCCAUCACCCGGUUUGACUGAAUCCUCACAUAAUUGUUCAUCCCACAUUCUCCAAAUGCCAUUGAUACAGCUUGAUCAAUCUGCAUUAUUGUUUUCAACAAUCAUUAGUAUUUGCCAAUAAUUAAAAUUAAUCCAACCCAUCACACCUUUUUUUAAAAUAAAUAUUUAAAUGGAUAUGUUUGUUAGGUGAGAAAUUCAUCACUCUUAGCCUAACCACCACUCCAAUUAUAAUUUAAAAGGGAUCACGAUAAAAAGGAUAAUAAUUAUUUUUUAUUAAAAUAAGAUUUCUUAUUGGUAGUUGGUUCUUACCAUAUCGGAAGCACCUUCACCGGCGAUUUUCACAAACCCUGACGGCGAGUUAACGGCGUUGAAGUCUGACUCUCCGUUGCCAAGGGAAAGGACUAACAGGUCAGAAACGCCGUUACAGAACGGAAACUCAUGCUUGUUAUUCAGCACGUGCGUGACGGCGGCGGCGGUUGGGUUGUUCAUCGCGACGCCGCCGUCGACGGCCAAGAUCUUCGUCCUUCCGUCCAAAGACCGCAUCUCAGUGGGGCCCACUGAGGCAGGGUCAGCUGACGUGGCAGCGCACACGUCGCGCAUCUUGAAAUCGUAACCGUCCAUUUCGAGCGCGUCAGCGCGGGAGAAAACGAACGGCGCGCGCGUCACGAGGUCGUAGCAGGGGAUCAGCACCGGUUUCAGAGUGUCUCUCAGCGUGCACUCCCCGAACGUUUUCCCGAAGAGCUUCUCCGCCUUCGACACUUGCCGGAGAACUCGCCGCCGGAGAAACCCUGCCGGCUUCCGGGAGAUCUUGCUCCGGUUGUCGGUGAGGUACUUUACCGCCUCAUCGGCGGUGAACAUCGGGAGCCCGUCGCUGCCGCGGGUGAAGAGAAGCGCGGCGAGGACUCCGCCGACGCCGGAGCCUGCGACGGCGUCGAAGUAUCCUGCGAUGCUCGCGUUUGGGUCGCCGGACUUGCGGCGGAGGCAGGAUUCGAGGUGAGCGAGGGAUUUGGCGGCGAGGAUUCCGUCGGUGGAGCCGGCGCCGUCAGUGCAGAGGAUCCUGACCUUGCCGGCGUUGUUGUUAUCCAAUUUUGAUGAAAAUUGCGCCAAAUUGGGAACUGAAUUCUUGGGAUUCUCGGCGUCGGCGUAGCCGAAGAGGAACUUGUUCUCCAAGAUGGAGAAGAUUUCGUAGGUGAGCUUGUCGACCUCGAAGGUAGAAUCCAUGGUGUUCAGUGCCGCCAUUUCUGUAAUUUGUUGUUUUUAGAGAGAGAAAGUUAGAGAGAGUGAGAGAGAGAGAAAUUGACUGUGGAGGAUUUUGUUGGUGUCUGUUGAAUGCUGUUGAUGAUGAAGAAAGGACUGCAACGUGAUUUAUAUAGUGAGUGUGUGGGUGAGUGAAUGUUACAAUUCUAGAACAUUCCUAAUUAAUAGCCACGUUAUUUCAUUUUAUUUUUUUUUUAUAUUUCUCACGUCGAAUCGAUAUCCGACAGUUUUGAGAUUAAUUCUCUCGAUAUUAAGAAAGAGUUUAAUGGAUAUGCACUGACAGUGUAAAAUAGUUUUACACAGUCAUCCAACCAAAGCAUGCCACAUAGGAGAGAUAAUUACAUUUGACUUUAAUUUUAAUUAAAAAAAUAAGAUAUUUUCUGAUUUGACGGAAUUCAAAUACUCUUGAUGUUUAGAGAUCAUAUUAAGUGUGUAGAUCUCUACGAACAAAUUCUACUCACAUAUAUUGUUGACGUCGAAUUCUGUACUAAAUGCUUAAGGAUUUUUACUACUUCUUUCACCUAUGUUAAACCAAAUAUUUCAAUUUUUUUAAAUAUUUAUGUGUGGAAUUAAGGAGGGAAUUGUUUUGAUGUGCUAUGAGAAAAAUGUGAAACAAAUGACAUUUUUUUAUUUAAAAAGAAAAAGCGGUGUGUGUGAAGAAAAAGAAAGAGAAAAAUGAGGAGACCACAAUCAAAGCUGCAAUUCAACUACUUUUUAAGUUUACAUGUGUGAUAUGAUGAUGUGGGUUGAAUUUAAAUUUGUGUGGGUGGGUAGAGUCUUUUCUUUUGUUAGUCUUCCUUUUUGUGCUACUGCUGCACUUUUCUUUCUUCUCUGCUUUAUUCGAGCUACUUUCAAUUGAGCUUCUGAAUUUUAAAACUUAGUGGGGGGAAUUUCAUGGUGUGAUUCACACUGUUCUGAUCUUGUUGUUCCCAUUUUUGAUGAAUGUAAUUUUUGUUUAUCAUUCCUUUAUUGGAUAAAAAUGGUGAAGUCAUUUUCAGCCAUUCCCUUUUCGCUUUCUCACAGGUGAUUCAUAUUCAAACGGGCUAAAUACCACCACCAUUGACUCAGUUCAAUUGAUUAUUUAUCCAUUUUCAGCGUUUAUGAGAUCAACUAGUUUUUAAAUUGGACAGAAAUGUUGAAUUUUGGGCCUGACUGAUUUGAAUGUAUCAAAAGAUUUUGGGUUUAUAUUUUAAAAAUUUGAGCAAUUUGCUUCGUCGCGUUCGACCCGCUUCAACAAAGGUGACCAACCUAUUGUGUCGCGGCUUGUCGAAGACCGUUGUGGCAAAGGUAUUUUAUAUCUUUGAUUAGGUUAAGGCGCACUAGCCUCAUACCAAGCUCUUGUAGCAACAUGGUAGGGGGGACAAUUAUGCAAAAAGGCUAGAGUUUUCGAAGUAUAUGUAGAGCAAAUUGCCCGAAAAUCUUUAAGACUCGCAACAUCUUGAUAAUGUAAUCAAAGUCUAUUCAUGUUCUUGACAUUUUCACUACCAAUAACAUCUUGUUCUUACUAGAUACUUGUUUUCAAAACUCAAAAUCAUUGCUAAAACCGAGUGUAGUAAUCCUUAGGAAGGUAAAUGUCCUUAAGAGGAUCGAAUUGACCAAAUGGUUUGCGGAGGGAGGAUCCUUAUACCUACAAUCAUGGCGAAGGUUAGAAACGAGAAGGCUGGUAGGGAGAUCUCUAGGGCGGGUCUGUAACGCCCUCAAGCUCAUAAAACUAAGUAUUGAAUUCUCCUAUGAUUCAUAACUUAGUAUCCCACGCGGUUCACUCGUGAACACAAAUUUAAGGAAAAUGUUAGCCUUAUGUACAAAGUUCUGGAAUAUUUAAGGGGCACGUGGAUUAGUGUCGGUUUCUAGUUGUUGUUAUGCUGCCACUAAUGUUAGGAACAACUAAAANNNNNNNNNNNNNNNNNNNNNNNNNNNNNNNNNNNNNNNNNNNNNNNNNNNNNNNNNNNNNNNNNNNNNNNNNNNNNNNNNNNNNNNNNNNNNNNNNNNNNNNNNNNNNNNNNNNNNNNNNNNNNNNNNNNNNNNNNNNNNNNNNNNNNNNNNNNNNNNNNNNNNNNNNNNNNNNNNNNNNGGGUUUUGCCUAGCGUGGGUCAGUUUGAAACCCCCCCACGGUGGAUCAGCUCAACUUUCAACCGCUCGAUUUAAUGUUUUUAAUUUGAACAGUAUAGAUCAGCUAAUAAUAAUAAAAAUUUAUUAAUUAAAUAUAUCUAAUUUUACUAAAACACCCUUCUCCCUUCCCAUGCUUCUUCAACCCCACUACCGUGCUUGAACUGCUACCACCGUCAAUCUCUCCCUCAGCCUACUAGAACCGCCACCAUGGAUCUACCAAAAACCCAGAACUGAAGUUGAAGCAACAUGCAAACCCAUCAUCUCCACCCAAAGUCACCCUACCAAAAACUCAUAUAGAACUUCACCACCGUCAAAUCCAGCUCCCGGAGAUGGAGAUAGCUACGGUUAUCACAUCCGCCAACACUAAAACCACCCCCAACGACCAAAUCCUCCACCCAAAACACCCCUCCAAACACCCAGAUCCGAAACCGCAUAAGUUAAAUCCAGAUCCGAAAUUGAAUGGGUUCAAGAGCGAAACCAAGAUCCAAAAUUGGGUGGAGAAUCGCGUUGUUGUCUCCGAGCGUGGUGGGUGGCCAUCUUGGUCGCGAGACUCCACGAUUUUCUUCCACAGGAUCGCGGAGGAUGGUUGGUGAGCAUCUUCAGAGUUGAUUUACCCGAUUUGAACCUCGCUGAACCCACAACCUUACCAGUUCGGGUCACGCCUCCGGCCCUGCACUGCUUCACACCCGCGACCAUGCACCGGGUGCAUUCACCCGUCCCGAACUUGAAGUUGCUGAGACUGAACGGUUCGUUCCCAAGCUUCUCCUCCGACGGUGAUUUCAUCGCUUUCAACCACGAUUUCGAUUCCAACAAAGGCGUGAAGAUCAUCAGAUCCAACGGCGGAGAGAAAGGGGGUUGUUGAGGAUAUGGUGGAUUGACCUCUCUCGAUUGUGGUGGGGAAGGAGCAGUUGGAGAUGAGGCGAACAAGAACUCGGUGGAGCGGCGAGGCUACGACGCUGCAGCGACGUGCUAUGGUGUUGUCGGUGGUAACAGAUGCAGAAGAAAGAAUUUGGGCGAAGGAUAAACAUGGAGAAAUUUAAAAAUGAAGGUUAUUUUUGACUUAUCAUAAGCAUAAUGAAAUUGAUCCACGGUGGGUCAGUUUGAAACUGACCCACACUAGGCGCAGCCUAAUUUUCGCCAUUAUUAUAGGGUUCUUCGCCNNNNNNNNNNNNNNNNNNNNNNNNNNNNNNNNNNNNNNNNNNNNNNNNNNNNNNNNNNNNNNNNNNNNNNNNNNNNNNNNNNNNNNNNNNNNNNNNNNNNNNNNNNNNNNNNNNNNNNNNNNNNNNNNNNNNNNNNNNNNNNNNNNNNNNNNNNNNNNNNNNNNNNNNNNNNNNNNNNNNNNNNNNNNNNNNNNNNNNNNNNNNNNNNNNNNNNNNNNNNNNNNNNNNNNNNNNNNNNNNNNNNNNNNNNNNNNNNNNNNNNNNNNNNNNNNNNNNNNNNNNNNNNNNNNNNNNNNNNNNNNNNNNNNNNNNNNNNNNNNNNNNNNNNNNNNNNNNNNNNNNNNNNNNNNNNNNNNNNNNNNNNNNNNNNNNNNNNNNNNNNNNNNNNNNNNNNNNNNNNNNNNNNNNNNNNNNNNNNNNNNNNNNNNNNNNNNNNNNNNNNNNNNNNNNNNNNNNNNNNNNNNNNNNNNNNNNNNNNNNNNNNNNNNNNNNNNNNNNNNNNNNNNNNNNNNNNNNNNNNNNNNNNNNNNNNNNNNNNNNNNNNNNNNNNNNNNNNNNNNNNNNGUGAGGGGAGGAAGGUGGUGGAGAGGAGGAGGUAGUAAAUAUAUAUAUUUUUAAAUGAAAAAUAUCAAUGACCUGAAAACCUAUCAUAGUAGGUAAAAGUGAGAGUUGUGUAACCUUACACAAGAAAAUUCUUGUGUAUGGUAAAUGGACCCUUUAAUUAUGGUUAAAAAAUAUAAAUUAUUCCUUAACAUUUAUAAGUUAAUUUUAUAAUUCUUGUUCCAAAGAGAGCUGCUAUAACAUAUGACACUCACUAUGCACGACUAGGCAUAACAUUGUUAAAUUAAAUUAGUGAAAAAUCAUGUUUUUUUAAAUAUAAUAAAACAAAAAAUCAAUACGCCAAAAUAAGAGUGUAGGUGUGCAAGUUGUGCUGGACAAAUGUUGUGUCAACUAGAAUUUUCAUUCUCCAAAAUAUAUGUAGUAAUUAACUAAAAUUUAAAAAGCAAACAAACAUAAAAGAUAAGCAUUAAUUAAUGGGAGAUCUAGCACCUUACAAAAAUUACAAAUCUUGACUUGACCCAUACAUAUACUAGAUAAACUGAUGUUCUGAAUGUUGUAUAGUUAUCAUUAACAUCUCUCCUGAUCUCUUAUCCACUCUAAGAAAUUUGUACUUUCAAUGUUCAAUGAAUGCCUACUAAGAAAUUAAGAAGCUAUUGUUCAAUUUCUUUAUUCCCUAGAGUAAGAAUCCAACAACAAUGGAUGAAAAAACUAGAGUAGGCUACUCUUCAUUUAAUUCCCUAGGCCAUAUCUGACCAUUGUGACAUUAAAUUUCUGAGCUAACACCAGCAAAAAAGUAACAUUGAUCGACUACUCACCCGUGCAGGGGUUUGUGAAAAUUGGAACAUUAAUGUUACAGAUGAGAUUCCCUAUCAUGUAUCAAACACACCCAUGUCAUGUCCUGCUCAACACAAUUGCUCUCUUUCUCUCUCACUGUGAGGGUCAGAGGGAAAAUCUCAGUAGGGCCUCUAGAUCUUAUUAUCAAUCUUCACUCCCUCUUCCUCCUUUCUUCUCUCAAAAGUUCAUGCAUGUACGGUCGUACCGACAUUUAUCUGCGGCCAAAUAUUUUCUUUUUAAUUUAUAAUUUCCUACCUUUGUUUAUUAGUAUAUAUACUUUGCUUUUUCUGUUUUUUUGCUUAAUUCUAUUGUUAUUCAAUUAAAAUAUUAGUUAACUGGUGGUUGAUUCAAGUGUUAUUUGGUUUAAGCAAUGUUUAAAUUUGAGUAUAAUGUGUGUAUGAAAAAAUGUCAUUAAGGUUUAAGAGAGCUAGCCUCACUAGAAUUGAUGUGAAUGUUCCUCAUAAUUGAUCUUGUGAGUUUCACUGUUGCAAAAUUGGAAGAUGCUUCUAGUUUUUUUAGUGAAUGUUUGGUUUCAAUUUUAGCACUACUAGAUGUGAAUCUAUAAAAAAAUAACCAUUUAUCACUUCUACUAGAUGUGGAUCAAUUAACUACAAGUGACUAAGAUUUCCUUUAUAUCUCUCACUAUCUUUUACAAUCGUCAAUGGAACAAGUUGUAGAGUCAUUUCAGGUAAGUGAUUAUAGAGGAGACCUAGUUUUAAGUUUUAACCAAAUCUCUUCCCAUAAUGAGCGUAUGAGUUAAGGCCUACACUGUAGUCCACACUAAUUAUUACAGAUAUUCAAGCUCAAACAAAAUGGAUCACUCAAAUAAUUAAGUUCGCUUACUCAUGUCCUCAAAUGGACCAUAAAUUAACAGAUUUUUAUUAAAAAUAAAAAAGAAACCCACAAGAAUUACUAAAUAAUUUUAACAUUUUACUAUAGCAAAAAUAGCAGAAUAAAAGAACUAAGUUAGUCUUAACUUUUUGGUAAAUCGGAAAAUUAAGUUAGUCUUAACUUUAUGUUAACCAAAAUGAUUCUCAAACACACGGUUUAUCAAUAACAUCUAAUUAUCGUACAUAUUUUGUUUAACUGCCCCAAUAUUUGCAGCAGUUUUUAACCGUUGCUAAUAUUUACAGCGGAUGAAAAUUAACUUCUGCCAAUUUUUAACCGUUAGUCUCAAUAUACUUUAUUUUUUUGGUCUUGACCAAGGUAUUCCUACAGCCGACAACCGUGAGAUUAAUCUCUCAUCUCACGGUCAGCGCACUAAGCGGUAGGGGGCUGACCAAUGAGUUUUUUCUAUUCGCAAGAGUUGAGAUUCGAACCCUCAACCACUUGCUUAAAGGAUGAAGUGUUGUUUACAUAUAAUCCUUUUUUUUUAUAUGCACACAUAAAUACUUCCUACAAACCCAAAGUAACAGUUAAAAUUUGAAACCAAAUCAACGUUAUGUAAAAACUAAUUUUGUGUUUGGUGUGAGGUCUUUUGAAGACUUGUCCAACUUAGAAUUGGAUUAGGGUAACAUAAAUUCAGCCAUGGUCCAAUGUCCCACAAGUGGAGGAGCAUAUAUAUUCGACUUGGAUCUAUUGGGAUUACCGUACAAACAAUUGAUUUUGAUGUACAAACAAUCAUAAAGAUGUGAUUAUUUAUCUACCUCCCUCUUCCUCUUUCCUCCAUAAAUUUCAUUCAUUCGUCUGCGAUUCUUCUGAAAACAAUAUAACUAUCUUGACCAUUAUUAUUUGACCCCCUUCUCUGAAAAUACAGUUGUCCGGACAGUACCCACUGGCAAACCGUACCAUGAUGAGUUCAUGAAUAUGUACCAACUGCUAGUUGUGCUGCUAUGAGCUGUGAUGAAGAGACUUAUCCUCUGCCAUGACCCCAAAACUAGAAGUUCUCUGGAUUUUCACUGCACUUGUUAGUACUCUACUCGCAUUCACUGCAGUCAAGUUUUGUACGGGAAGCUAUUUUCACUUCUAUAAGUUCAACUCUAGGAAUACAAUUUUUUUGGGAAAUAAAUACCCUUAUGUAACUUGAACUUUCAUAACACAAAAAAAAUAGAGUUCAACUUCCACAUUUAUCAUAUGCUCUCAAAUUAGUAUGGAAAGAUCGAUGGAAAUGGGGGUAAAUCAUAUAGAGAAAGUGAAAAUGAGCCUGAAAGUUAACACAUGAAUUUGUUGGUACAUGCAUGAGCAUUUACGAUUUGGUCAGUGCAGGGGAUUGAUAUUUGAUCAUCAGUCUUUUAUAUUUUACUGUGAAUCUCAAAUGGAAAUUAUGCAUGUGCUUGUAUUUUUUGGAAGAUAUUUUUUAGCCUAUAUCCUAUAUUAUAUGCUAGGCAAGUAGUCAAGUACUUACAUACAUAUAUGGGGUCAAUAAAAGGACGAAGGGCAGUACCAUUUAGGAUCAAUUGUAUUUAUCGAUGGAAUGAAAGGUGAACUGUUUUUCCACUGUCGGCGGCACAUGAACUUGUUCAUUAUUUUUGGGCAGUAGUAGCUCAUAUAUUUCUAUGAAGUGGGGUUGAAUUAGACUAGACCUCUAUUAAUUGAAUGAAAUUUACAAGCAUGUGGUUUGAAGAAUUGAAUGUUGUGGGUGGAAUCUAGUUCAGUUGUUUUCUACAUUUGUUCAUUCAGUAAUGGCGAGCCACUACUUGGGCAUGUCUAAUUAUUGGAAUGAAUAAAUAUAGACCCCUAUUAAGAAAGAAAGUCUAGGUCAUGCCCUAAUUCUUUAAUAUCAAACCUGUAUAUUAACUGACAUGAAAUUGUUCUAGCAUUAUCAGAAGCAGUUGCGAAAGCUUGUUUGACCAAAUUCUCAGUAAAAGUUUGGUUAGUGCACUGUGCACCAGAAACUUCUUUUACGACAUCAAAUUAACAUCAUUAUCAAUCUUAGUUUUCAUUUUGACAAAAUUUUAAUUAACGGUAACUAAUGCCAAAACAUCGUUUUAUUGUUGACUUUUAAAUGUCAAAGAGGGAAAAAGUGAGUUGACUUAUGCUUUUCCACCAAAAGUCAUUUUUACUGUCAUGCUCCACUUAAUUUUGAACAGAAUAAUUAACCAUGUUAGUUGCACGUUUGAACCCAUAAUGAUAUAUAUGUCUUAUAGGAGUACAUAACUUGCUCUCAACCAAAAUUGAAUUACUAAUAUGUUUGGAUCAACUUUUUUUCAUCAAAAUCAUUUUUAAAACUCAAAUGCUACUUACUAAAACUUAUCUUAAAAGUAAUUUAGUUUCAGAAUCAAUUAUUAAAUAGUUUCCAAAGACGCAUUAACUAAAAGUAAAAAUCUGAGUCUCAAUGUUGAAGCUUUGCUCUGAACCUCUGGUUUUGUAUCUUUGUUACUUCAGGGGAAUUGGGUCAAACCUUAUACCCACUAAAAUCAUUGUGGUCACCCCUUAAUUUAAAUAAUUGCGAUCACAAUUCCUCACCCAUCGUUUUCAAUUUGUCGUCACAAUUAACUUUCUGGGAUUAAUUAAGACAGAUUCCUGGGAGUGAUUGAUCGAAUUCAAUGGGUCCUCCAAUGUGACAGCAGAAUCAUAUAAUCAAAUAAAAUAUCACUUAAAAGAGAAACAAAACAUUGGAAUUACUCGUACUAGAUUAAUUCAUGUCCCGCUUUUCACCCUUCCUUAGAUAGCGGGUCAAAACAAAUCACAACAUCAAGUAUUUAAUUUUAUGCACAGUAACAUGUUACUUUGUGUUCAAAAAGUGAAAUCCUAGAUACUAACCUAACAAUCAAAGGAUUGUGUCUUUGAGCAUUUCUGUUUGAGUAUUUUUGUGUAACGAGAGUUGUUAUAUUAGUGAGAAUGAUUGUUUCCGGCCCCUUUCAGAAAUUGAUCUCUGAAUAUUCCUUAUCAAACUCAUAUAUCACUUAACUUUUACCACUUGAACUAUCAUUCAGGACGUACAUACCGCUUUAAAGGGAAAUUAUGAAUUCAACCUUUUAACUUUUUUUUUUAAAUGCUCACCUUUUAACUUUAAAGUAUAAGUAUAUGCAACACAAAAACAUAUAUAUCCUCUAUACUCAAAUUCGAUGAUCUCUAUCUAGAUCGCUAAUUCUAAUUCACAAACUCGCAAGAUAUCAAAUCUUAGGUAUUAAAAUGAAGUGUCUCUUUUGACCCACAUCAGUCUACAUUCUUCAUAUGUUGCCCCCUUCCACCGUCCUCACCCAUUCCAGACCACUUUGAUAUUCAUAAUCUUUGUUUAACUACAUAUAAACAUAAUUAUAUAUGUCUUCAAUGGGUCAUGCCAUGCUAUGGUUGUUUGAUAUAUAAAAUCUGUAACUUCCGUUACAGUUUCCUCCAGCAUUCACCGACGGCCAAGUGCAUUGCUCUGAGAAAUAAAAUAAGAUGAUAAAAUCGUUACAAAAGACGACGGUAUCAAACAGAUAUCUCUGAAUUCUGAGUAUGUAUGUGGGUAGGGACACCAUCAGUCCAUCACCAAAGUAAUAAGCUAGCGUUAGGUGAGAAAUUAAGAAUAGAAAAACUUGAUUAGAAGCAAAAAUUGCUACUAUACCAAUAAUAUUUGUCGGAGCACUAUCAUACAUAAUCCAAUUAAUUAAUAUCACGCUUCUUUUUCACCGGACAAAUGGGUUUGUUUAAGGCUUUGUUAAUCAUGGGUCUUAACCUUUAAUCAUUGAGGUAGGUUUCUUAGACUAAGUUAAAGUAUAUGCCACACCCUAGUACCAACCAAUCCUUAAACGUGGUGAAUGGCCUUGAGUAUUGUAUUGUUUAACUAGUGUUUAGGCGGGAAAAGUUUUGAGGAGAUCAUAAGUGUUGUCUUUUGUUAAAUUUUAGCUUGCGGUUUUACUCAAGUGCUUCUAUUUGCCAAGUAUAUCUAUGUGGUGAUUUACAAUACAUGGGGUGACUCGGUCUAGUGCCUAGAAUGAUGUCGGCUUAGGAAGAGAUAUCAUGUUAAUCGAGUAAUGGAUAACACAAAUUACUAUCCUAUAGUUCUGUGUUGAUUGAGUAAUGGAUAACACAAAUGAAGUUGGAUAGUUAUUUCGAUGAGGCAAAUUAAUUAAUGGAUAUGCUUCUUUGAACCAGGAUUAAGAUUCACCUACUUAAUCGCAAUAACUAUCCUGGCUCUGUGCUGAUUGAGUAAUGGAUAACACAAAUUAAAAAAUUGAGAAAUGAAAUAAAAGAAAAUCAUUAAACUUCAUUAAUUAAUAGGUGCUUACUCCUGUACCCAAAAAUUCAAGUGAGUGUACGGUAUAAGAGUGAUAUGUACCAAUUAAAUGAAUACACUUAAUAAAUGAGUGAUGACUUGGUACCAUUUCUAAUUUGUACCCUUUCUUUUCAGUAUUUACUCAAUAACCCCACUUUUAUUAAACAAACUCAAUAAGACCCCACUUUUAUUUCAAACACCUGAUUCAAAUGUUCUUGAUGUUCUUCAUCUUCUUCAAGCAUCCAUUACAAGACCGGAUUUGGAUCCUACCCUUUAAACCCAUAAACCCUUUAACCAACUUCUUUCUAUUUUAAUGGUUUAAGAUGAAAUUGACUCAUACAACUUCUCCGCUUUCCCCUUGAUAUCGACGGUUGAAUAAAAUUUGUCCCUUUAUAUGGGUUUUGAGGUUCAAUUUUGAACCAGGACCAUGUCGAUUAUCCGGGGCAUGUCUUCCUUCAGUAUGGAUCUGGUGUUUUAUAGGUGCUCUCUAGAUAUCAGUUGUGUCGUGGAUCGGAUCUGUUGUUUGGUUUUAUUAAUCGAGGGAGAUAAAUUAUACGUUCUUUGUUUUGGGCUUUGAAUUGAGUAUUUUAUGCCAUUUUGGCAUAAUUUCCCAUUUUAAAUCAAUGAUCUUCUCUUCCAAGAAAAACUGAAUCAUCCUCAGUAGCGUAACAACCCAGAUUUUAUUUGGGUUUGUUGCAUGUGUCAGCCAAACGAUGAUCUCAUAAGAGGAUUGAAAUGAUAAUAAUAAUAUUACGGGGCUGAUUUAGAAUUAUAAUAAUUCUGUAACCUUAAUUACUAAACAAAAUAAUAUUUACAGAUGUAAUUAUGCAAUUGGUACAUGUCAUUUUUGUACCAUACCCAUAAAAUUUUUCCUGUACCACAGAAUCCACCAUUAAAUUUGAUAGUUGAUGGUGAUUUGCAUGGUUGCACAUGGCCUAGUUGAAUUUAAAAUAUUAUAUAUUGAGAAGUUGCAGUUAAAAUGUUGGGAUUGACUCAUUAUCUUAUCAGUUAUUUGUAUUUGAUUUAAGAGGAUUGUCUAUGGGUUUAGAUAAGACUAUAUCUUAUCUAAUGGGUUUAGUUAAGAUAAUGAGCCAAUCCCAACAAUCUCCACCUUGGCGAAUUCUCGAACCCUCGUGAAGAUCAACUGCUCAGCUUCUGAAUCCUGAUUUUCGGGACUGUGUUCUCCAUUAAAUCAAAUCCUAAUAAACUGAAUAUUUGGUCUCAAAAUAAAAUCUGUGGGCCCAAGAUUUUCCUAAUGAGCCAAUUCCCAACAAUCUCCACCUUGGCAAAUUCCAAACUCCCUUGUGAUGAUCUGUUGCUUCAGUUUCUUGACUGCGAUUUUUGGGAUUGGUGGUGACUGGCUUGGUCAACAUGUCCGCUGCACUCUGGCACUCGAACUCCACCUUACUCAACACCCUGUCCUGUGUCUGUUAGAUAUGUCAGUUUCUCCUCUCGCUGACUUCUGCAAUCCUCAUGGCCUUUAUCUGUAGCGGAAGAUAUCCAACCUUGCACCGUCGUUCGCUCCACCGUGAGAAACGGAACACUCCACCUGACUACACCGUCAAUGGAUACUUUCGGCACACCAGCCUCGGUCCCGCGAACCAGGCGCUCUGAUACCAAUUGUUGAGAAAAGAAAGGCACAACUUGAUUCAGACAGUACGAUAGAGCGAGAAAGCACGAAUAAACCACACAGAAAACUUUGGUCACGCAGUUCGGCCAAUUGUGCCUACCUCUGCAGCUAUAGAGUAGCUAUAGCUCCCUUUAUUGAUNNNNNNNNNNNNNNNNNNNNNNNNNNNNNNNNNNNNNNNNNNNNNNNNNNNNNNNNNNNNNNNNNNNNNNNNNNNNNNNNNNNNNNNNNNNNNNNNNNNNNNNNNNNNNNNNNNNNNNNNNNNNNNNNNNNNNNNNNNNNNNNNNNNNNNNNNNNNNNNNNNNNNNNNNNNNNNNNNNNNNNNNNNNNNNNNNNNNNNNNNNNNNNNNNNNNNNNNNNNNNNNNNNNNNNNNNNNNNNNNNNNNNNNNNNNNNNNNNNNNNNNNNNNNNNNNNNNNNNNNNNNNNNNNNNNNNNNNNNNNNNNNNNNNNNNNNNNNNNNNNNNNNNNNNNNNNNNNNNNNNNNNNNNNNNNNNNNNNNNNNNNNNNNNNNNNNNNNNNNNNNNNNNNNNNNNNNNNNNNNNNNNNNNNNNNNNNNNNNNNNNNNNNNNNNNNNNNNNNNNNNNNNNNNNNNNNNNNNNNNNNNNNNNNNNNNNNNNNNNNNNNNNNNNNNNNNNNNNNNNNNNNNNNNNNNNNNNNNNNNNNNNNNNNNNNNNNNNNNNNNNNNNNNNNNNNNNNNNNNNNNNNNNNNNNNNNNNNNNNNNNNNNNNNNNNNNNNNNNNNNNNNNNNNNNNNNNNNNNNNNNNNNNNNNNNNNNNNNNNNNNNNNNNNNNNNNNNNNNNNNNNNNNNNNNNNNNNNNNNNNNNNNNNNNNNNNNNNNNNNNNNNNNNNNNNNNNNNNNNNNNNNNNNNNNNNNNNNNNNNNNNNNNNNNNNNNNNNNNNNNNNNNNNNNNNNNNNNNNNNNNNNNNNNNNNNNNNNNNNNNNNNNNNNNNNNNNNNNNNNNNNNNNNNNNNNNNNNNNNNNNNNNNNNNNNNNNNNNNNNNNNNNNNNNNNNNNNNNNNNNNNNNNNNNNNNNNNNNNNNNNNNNNNNNNNNNNNNNNNNNNNNNNNNNNNNNNNNNNNNNNNNNNNNNNNNNNNNNNNNNNNNNNNNNNNNNNNNNNNNNNNNNNNNNNNNNNNNNNNNAUAAAAUCGUUACAAAAGACGACGGUAUCAAACAGAUAUCUCUGAAUUCUGAGUAUGUAUGUGGGUAGGGACACCAUCAGUCCAUCACCAAAGUAAUAAGCUAGCGUUAGGUGAGAAAUUAAGAAUAGAAAAACUUGAUUAGAAGCAAAAAUUGCUACUAUACCAAUAAUAUUUGUCGGAGCACUAUCAUACAUAAUCCAAUUAAUUAAUAUCACGCUUCUUUUUCACCGGACAAAUGGGUUUGUUUAAGGCUUUGUUAAUCAUGGGUCUUAACCUUUAAUCAUUGAGGUAGGUUUCUUAGACUAAGUUAAAGUAUAUGAGCCUGAAUAAAGUCUGUUAGUGACUUAGUGGUACGAAAAUUCAAAAUUGGCUUCACUCACACGCUUGCAUUCCAUGGUCGAUCUCAUUCUUUUUCUCUUGUCCCUUGAAAUAUCCAAAUCUUUGACUCUUAAAUUGAGAGGAUGCAAGCUUGCAUUCCUAAUAUCUUUGCCAACCGUGUCUGUUGGUUAAUGUAAGACUUUGGUAUAAGUGUGAGUAAUUAUAAAAUAUAAUUUAAUUCAUUGUGUAUUUUCAUGUCAUUGAUAUUUUUCCCUCUCCUAUAAACAAAAUAUUAGAUGAUAUAACAUAUAUGGUUGAAUGAGGGGAAUUCUAGUCUUUACACUUCACGUUGAGCUGGUGGGGAUCGCCCACACCCUAGUACCAACCAAUCCUUAAACGUGGUGAAUGGCCUUGAGUAUUGUAUUGUUUAACUAGUGUUUAGGCGGGAAAAGUUUUGAGGAGAUCAUAAGUGUUGUCUUUUGUUAAAUUUUAGCUUGCGGUUUUACUCAAGUGCUUCUAUUUGCCAAGUAUAUCUAUGUGGUGAUUUACAAUACAUGGGGUGACUCGGUCUAGUGCCUAGAAUGAUGUCGGCUUAGGAAGAGAUAUCAUGUUAAUCGAGUAAUGGAUAACACAAAUUACUAUCCUAUAGUUCUGUGUUGAUUGAGUAAUGGAUAACACAAAUGAAGUUGGAUAGUUAUUUCGAUGAGGCAAAUUAAUUAAUGGAUAUGCUUCUUUGAACCAGGAUUAAGAUUCACCUACUUAAUCGCAAUAACUAUCCUGGCUCUGUGCUGAUUGAGUAAUGGAUAACACAAAUUAAAAAAUUGAGAAAUGAAAUAAAAGAAAAUCAUUAAACUUCAUUAAUUAAUAGGUGCUUACUCCUGUACCCAAAAAUUCAAGUGAGUGUACGGUAUAAGAGUGAUAUGUACCAAUUAAAUGAAUACACUUAAUAAAUGAGUGAUGACUUGGUACCAUUUCUAAUUUGUACCCUUUCUUUUCAGUAUUUACUCAAUAACCCCACUUUUAUUAAACAAACUCAAUAAGACCCCACUUUUAUUUCAAACACCUGAUUCAAAUGUUCUUGAUGUUCUUCAUCUUCUUCAAGCAUCCAUUACAAGACCGGAUUUGGAUCCUACCCUUUAAACCCAUAAACCCUUUAACCAACUUCUUUCUAUUUUAAUGGUUUAAGAUGAAAUUGACUCAUACAACUUCUCCGCUUUCCCCUUGAUAUCGACGGUUGAAUAAAAUUUGUCCCUUUAUAUGGGUUUUGAGGUUCAAUUUUGAACCAGGACCAUGUCGAUUAUCCAGGGCAUGUCUUCCUUCAGUAUGGAUCUGGUGUUUUAUAGGUGCUCUCUAGAUAUCAGUUGUGUCGUGGAUCGGAUCUGUUGUUUGGUUUUAUUAAUCGAGGGAGAUAAAUUAUACGUUCUUUGUUUUGGGCUUUGAAUUGAGUAUUUUAUGCCAUUUUGGCAUAAUUUCCCAUUUUAAAUCAAUGAUCUUCUCUUCCAAGAAAAACUGAAUCAUCCUCAGUAGCGUAACAACCCAGAUUUUAUUUGGGUUUGUUGCAUGUGUCAACCUAACGAUGAUCUCAUAAGAGGACUGAAAUGAUAAUAAUAAUACUACGGGGCUGAUUUAGAAUUAUAAUAAGUCUGCAACCUUAAUUACUAAACAAAAUAAUAUUUACAGAUGUAAUUAUGCAAUUGGUACAUGUCAUUUUUGUACCAUACCCAUAAAAAUUUUCCUGUACCACAGAAUCCACCUAAUUAAUAAACAUAUGUAUAAAAGAAGCAUAUCCAUCUUCUUCUCCUUUUGCAAAAGGGAGAAUGGAAAACAAAUUGAAGGACAGAAAGAAAAAUACUUUCUUCUCUUUGCAUUUUGAUUAGGAGCUUAUUUUAUUUCAGGUUAGGGAAUACUUUUCUAACCUUAUUAAGCAUGCAUAAUCAUGAACAGAAACCACCCAUUUUUUGCUUUUAAAAUAACAGAAACCACCAAAACAUACACCCUCCUCUAAGGAUAGACUUAGCAUUUAACUAUAAGAAUUAUUAAUCACCAAGUGUAGUAUACGUAAGCCGAAAAAAGUAAUCAAAUAUUUUGCUCCAAAAUUUUGUUUGAAGCAUGAAACCUCCACUAAUGGAGGUGCAACAAACAAGAAGAUUUAUAUAAACAAACGAGCGUGUUUUAUGAAGGGAUAAAAAGGUAGGUAAAAUAUGAUUUAAAUAGUAGCAUAUGUCGGAUGGUUCAGCGUAUGAUGCAAAUUAAAUAUGGGAAUAAUAUAUAUAUAUUCACCUUAAUCAUACAUGUAGCAUUAUUGCAUCUUAUCUUAUAUAUCUUUGUACAUACAUGGAGUAUACAAUGCGUUUAAUAUUAUUGUAUGUGCAUUAGUGCAUAUGAAUUAAAAAAUACAUACAUUUACAUACACGUGUGAAAGAUGAGAAAAGGCAAAAGAAAAUUUUUUGCAUGAUUCGAGGAAAAACUAAAAUAUAAAAGGUGACAUUCUUGGACGGAAGAAGCUACACGUAAACAUAUAAAAUAGAGUAAGGUUUUAAUUUUGAUUUUUGUCAUUUUGUAUUGUUGUCGUGUAGUUUGGUUGGGCCAACAAAAAUAUAAGGUUGUGAUGCAUGUAAUGUGCAGUAAAAGGCUAUGGAAUGCGGGCCACCAAAAGGACAAGGUUCUGGUGGGAGAUUCCCUACCGACAAUGUUAAAUAUUGAAGGGUCAAAAUGGAGACACUUGAGUAGGGAUAUCAAUGGCUUUAGCAUGGCAAAUUGCUGGUGAAUCUUGUGCCCAGAUUACAUUGUAAUAUUGUAUAUCGAUGGGAAACUUCAUAGUCAAUUUUCUAAAAGGAAAGGACAAGGAUCUGUCUCAUCUUUCUUUAGUUUUUCUUUCAUGCUGUGUCUUGUUAAAUUUGAGAUAUGUCAUGUCUGCUAAACAUUUGUUAAUAUUGCUUUAUGUAGCUAGCAUUAGAAUUAUAAGGGAUAGUUCAAGAACCGCGAAUCACGUACAUUAACUGACACAAAGUUGUUCUAGUUUAAACAUAGAUUUUAGGUUUGAUUCCUUCUUAAUAUAGCCAGGUUAAAUAUUUGUAAAUGAACGAGCAAACAUGUAUCUAGAGGAUCGAGGUCUGUGACGAUUGUCUCUACAGUAAGAAAAGUCCUUAAGUGGAGAUUUUGAGCGCAUGGUCAGCUCCGGGCUACCCUGCUUUGUUCAUCAUAUCUCGACCUUCGUGUGACCAUCACUGAGUCAUUCAGUAGUCUGUGCCCUUGUUACGCUUACAUAAGAGCAAGUCCUUUUGAGUCAGCUUAGUUGCUUCUUAGUCCUCAAAGCUCAUAAGUCAGUACUAAAAAUUGUAAUUAUCACAAUAAUCUUGCAAUUCCUUAUUUACUUUACUGGGUGUGUUGAACCCCUCUGAUGAUUUGCAGCAAUUUAUCCCAAGAGUCCGACAGGUACAUCUGGCAUAUAUAUUGCAGGGGGGAAAUAUCUAAGACAGACAUCAAGUUUUGUUUUUUUAUUCUAAUUCAACUACAGCCCCGAGUAGAAUCAAAAUCAAACAAAUCAAAGCUCUAAUAAAAGAUACUAUUUGACCUGUAUGUAUAGAAUUCAUUUAAAAAAUACAAAUCAAUUAAUUAAGCAACAAGAUGCCAAGAAGACAACUAAGGGGGAAGUCAAGUGCAGAAAUUUAUAUUAGAAAGAUGGGAGAAUGAGAUCUUGCUAUAUAUGCUAGCUGGAUAUCUAGUAGCAAACAGAUCAUUUGUAAAUUAAAAAAGAAAAUAUAUGUAGCAUUCAGGAUAGGAAUGUAUCGAAUAGUUGGAAUUGUAUAUACUAUAUACUGUUGAUAGAUGAACAUGAUUAAUAAUGAGGUCGUUUAUUUUGGAAGUAUGCUGCUGAGGGUGCAUUACUUGCCAUCAUUUUUUGAGCCUAGCCUAUAUAUAUUUUAAUAUGAAGCAGGGCUUUGUCUUGCAUUUUAGAGGUUCAGCCAGUGCCACCAAUGCCUGAUGAGUGAUGAAAAGGCUAGAUAGCAACACCAACUCAGUAUUCAAUCUAUGAUAUCAUCCCACUUACAAUUCAAAUCAACAUUACAAAUCAUUUGAGACACCCCUACAUGAUCAAGACACAAGUGACAUCAUGGAGCAAGCCAGCAACAGAGAGUACAGUGUGGAAGCAGAGCAUGCUUGCUCAGAGGCUGUAGCCUGUAGAUAUCAAAUAAUCAAAUUGAAACCUGCUUUCAAGUUUUCGUGUGCUUGCUUCUGUAGUUCUUUCAUCUCUGUGUCAAUUUUUCUUUGCUUAUCUCCUCUUUCGUCUAGAUAAUUGUUGGUUGUUGCUACUUAUGACUUUAAAUUAUUUUAAUUUUACCCCACUUUAUAUUCCUUUUAUGGCUUCAUCGUUUCUCUUCUUCGCGUUUGCAGGAAAAAAGAACCUAUACAAAUGGUUAUUUCUGUGUGGCACAUAAGAUGUCUCUCUAAAUGAGAAAAUGAAAGAAUUUAGGACAGUGAUGCAAAAUAAAUGUACAUGUUCGUUCAUAUUGGGCUUCACAAGAUGACAGAUCCUUUUUUUUUAAAGCAAAGCUUUAACUUGUCCAAAAAAAGCAAGGCUUUAACAGUUAUGGGUGUUUGGACCCGUUAUAAUGCAACUUGGAAGUCCAUCUCCACCACUAUCCGUCCACAUUCAGCUUCAUAAAGCCCAAAGUACGAAAAGCAUUACAAUAGAUUAUGUCAGUUUUUUUCCAAAAAAAUUAUGUCAUUUUUUAUUUAUUUUUAAAAUGGAGGAACUAGGCCCAAUAUAUUAUGUCAAUGAUAGGGUGAUUAGGUGUUGGUAUUGGUAUUAAUUUUUUUUUUGGUUACAGGGAUUAGUAUUAAUCCAAGAGUAGGCGAUCAGAAAAAUAUUAACACUCCAUUUUACGCUCUCUAUUAAAUAAUUUUUUAUUAUUAAGUUGAAAUUCAUGUAGAAUCCACUAAAAAUAUGAUACCACUUUCAAUUUAAUAAGACUCACCGGGAGUGUAAUGUGCCAGCGAACUUCCUUGCAAAAUUGGGAGCACGUUCUCCGGUAAUCAACUUCAGCUUCUUGGACAAACCUCCCUGGGAAGUAGAGACCCUUGUCAUGAAGGACCUUAUGUUUACUCGUUAGCUUUGUUAUUUUGUUAGUUUUCCGAUGUAACAAAAAAAAAUUAAUAAGACUCAUAUCAAUUUUAACCAAUCAAUUAGAUAAUGUUGAAUAGAAAUCGUUAAAAAAAGUGUUACUUGCACUCCAAGCCAGAGGAUUGAGGUGUGAAAUUCACUUUUUUUUCUCAUUUAACAGAACAUACAACAUCUCUUGGAUUGAUUUCUGCAAGGCCUUUCUGGAAUAUGCAGAUUACUAUCAAAUGUUUCCAUAACAUGCAAAAUGAAAACAAAAUUCUGUUAAAAAGUCAAAAUACUACAAAGCUAACAUUUCUAAAAUUAACCAAAUAGCAUCUAACCCCAAAAUCUAUUCUUGGCACAUCCGAUCUAUGAACCCGGAUUUCAUGCACAAACCCCCUCCCCUCAAAUACCCCACAUUCCCCCGCCUCCAUUCUCACGCGACGCUCUCUCUUCCUCCUUCUCCUCCACCACCACCGUCCCGCUCGCUCCCCGGAGAAGAAGAAGGAAACAAAACAACAAUGGCUUCCACCAAAACCCUCACGCUCCUCACCCUCCUCAUUGCCACCACCCUCCUCGCCCCACCCACCGACGCCAAACCCCACGCGCCACGCACCCCUCAGGCGCGCGUCUGGUCCAUCUGCAAACCCGCCACAAACCCUGUCCUCUGCUACAAAACCAUCCUCCCCAUCGUCCUCACCGGCAAAUUCAACAUCUACAAAACGCUCGAGAUCGAGAUCGCCGCCACCAAACUCCAGGUGGACAAAACCGCCGCCGCCAUCAACAGCCUCAUCGCCACUCCCGGAGUGUCCAAAUCCAUGGCCGAUUCGCUCUCCGUUUGCAAGGAGCAGUACGAUAACAUGAUCGAUUCCAUCGCCGAGACCGUCGCGCUUGUCACCAAGCGCGACGUUAGCGAGGCGAAGUACAAAUUCAGCGCCGUGAUAUCGUACCACCAGGCCUGCAAUGAUCAAUUCGACGCCGGAACCUCGCCGAUUACCAAUGACGCGCAGGGCGUUUUCGACCUCGGUUCGAACAGCUUGGACAUCAUGCACGCCAUUGAAGUUAGAGAGAUGCGCCGCCGCGGAAACGCCGUUCCCGUUCCUUCUUUGGGUUCCGACGGUGGUCCGUGCAAGGGUGUUAUCGGAAUUUGUGGUUAACUUUGAAUUCUGGUCACGCCAUGCAAUGUAACGAACAUGAAGAGUGGGAUUAUAUUUUCCAUUUUUUUAUUAUUGAUAUAUUAUUAAUCAUCUAAUUAUCUGACCAUUAAUUUGUAUCAUAGUUUUGCUUCCCCUUUUUGGAUUCUCAUGUGUGAUUUGUGAAUUGGGAGGAGAUAGUGUUUCUUAUAUAUGUGAUUGAUUGGAAACAAUCCAUUUAAGAUAACAACAAAAUGACUUACAAAUUUAGGUUGAUGUAUGUAUUCAGCUUUUGAUUUGUAAUUCAUUGUGUACUGCAUAAGGAUUAAAAUUACUAGUAAUCUG
rnacentral:lncRNA from 1 species